GACGAACGCUGGCGGCGCGCUUAACACAUGCAAGUCGAGCGAGAACCGGGGCUUCGGCCCCGGGGACAGCGGCGAACGGGUGAGUAACACGUGGGUAACCUGCCCUCGGCACCGGGAUAGCCCGGGGAAACCCGGAUUAAUACCGGAUGGCCCCUCCGGCCCUCGGGUCGGCCGGGAAAGGUAGCUUCGGCCUCCGGCCGAGGAUGGGCCCGCGGCGGACUGGCUUGUUGGCGGGGUAACGGCCCACCAAGGCACCGAUCCGUAGCUGGUCUGAGGGGACGAUCAGCCACACUGGGACUGGGACACGGCCCAGACGCCUACGGGAGGCAGCAGUGGGGAAUCUUGCACAAUGGGCGAAAGCCUGAUGCAGCGACGCCGCGUGCGGGAAGACGGCCUUCGGGUUGUAAACCGCUUUCAGGAGGGACGAAGCCACUCGGGUGAAUAGCCCAGAGGGUGACGGUACCUCCAGAAGAAGCCCCGGCUAACUACGUGCCAGCCGCCGCAGUAACAC
rnacentral:rRNA from 1 species